UGGGGAAUUUUGGACAAUGGGCGCAAGCCUGAUCCAGCCAUGCCGCGUGCAGGAUGAAGGCCUUCGGGUUGUAAACUGCUUUUGUACGGAACGAAAAGGUGCCUUCUAAUAAAGGGCGCUCAUGACGGUACCGUAAGAAUAAGCACCGGCUAACUACGUGCCAGCAGCCGCGGUAAUACGUAGGGUGCGAGCGUUAAUCGGAAUUACUGGGCGUAAAGCGUGCGCAGGCGGUUUUGUAAGACAGAGGUGAAAUCCCCGGGCUCAACCUGGGAACUGCCUUUGUGACUGCAAGGCUGGAGUGCGGCAGAGGGGGAUGGAAUUCCGCGUGUAGCAGUGAAAUGCGUAGAUAUGCGGAGGAACACCGAUGGCGAAGGCAGAUCUCUGGGCCGUAACUGACGCUGAGGAGCGAAAGCAUGGGGAGCGAACA
rnacentral:rRNA from 1 species